rnacentral:rRNA from 1 species
AGCUCCAAUAGCGUAUACUAAAGUUGUUGCAGUUAAAAGCUCGUAGUUGGAUUUCUGGCAGGGACGGCUGGUCGGUUCCGAUAAGGGGCCGUACUGUUGUUGGUUCCUGUCAUCCUUGGGGAGAGCGAUUCUGGCAUUAGUUUGUUGGGAUCGGGAUCCCUAUCUUUUACUGUGAAAAAAUUAGAGUGUUCAAAGCAGGCUUAGGCCCUGAAUACAUUAGCAUGGAAUAAUAAGAUACGACCUUGGUGGUCUAUUUUGUUGGUUUGCACGCCAAGGUAAUGAUUAAUAGGGAUAGUUGGGGGUAUUCGUAUUCAAUUGUCAGAGGUGAAAUUCUUGGAUUUAUGGAAGACGAACUACUGCGAAAGCAUUUACCAAGGAUGUUUUCA